UACGUAGGGUGCGAGCGUUAAUCGGAAUUACUGGGCGUAAAGGGCGCGUAGGCGGCCUGCUAAGUCGGACGUGAAAUCCCUCGGCUCAACCGAGGAACUGCGUCCGAUACUGGUGGGCUUGAAUCCGGGAGAGGGAUGUGGAAUUCCAGGUGUAGCGGUGAAAUGCGUAGAGCUCGGGAAGAACAUCGGUGGCGAAAGCGCUCUGCUGGACUGCAACUGACACUCAGGGACGAAAGCUAGGGGAGCGAAUGGG
rnacentral:rRNA from 1 species